rnacentral:rRNA from 1 species
AGUGAACGCUGGCGGUAGGCCUAACACAUGCAAGUCGAACGGCAGCACAGUAAGAGCUUGCUCUUACGGGUGGCGAGUGGCGGACGGGUGAGGAAUACAUCGGAAUCUACUUUUUCGUGGGGGAUAACGUAGGGAAACUUACGCUAAUACCGCAUACGACCUACGGGUGAAAGCAGUGGAUCGUCGGACCUUGCGCGAAUGAAUGAGCCGAUGUCGGAUUAGCUAGUUGGCGGGGUAAAGGCCCACCAAGGCGACGAUCCGUAGCUGGUCUGAGAGGAUGGUCGGCCACACUGGAACUGAGACACGGUCCAGACUCCUACGGGAGGCAGCAGUGGGGAAUAUUGGACAAUGGGCGCAAGCCUGAUCCAGCCAUACCGCGUGGGUGAAGAAGGCCUUCGGGUUGUAAAGCCCUUUUGUUGGGAAAGAAAAGCAGCAGGUUAAUACCCCGCUGUUCUGACGGUACCCAAAGAAUAAGCACCGGCUAACUUCGUG